GGUUGUGCAAUGCAAUAUGGAUUACAGCUAUUCAUAUCACAGAGAGAGAGAGAGAGGAAAAAAAGAGAAAGUAGCUGAAGGCAGAAGUGGUCGCAAUGUGAUUGAUGGACGAGAGGGAGGGAGAUCCGGGAGCGAGAGAGACGGUUUUCAGGUUUGUACUGUCCAAUAGGAGACUCGAGAUUGUUUUCCAAAUAAAAAUGCCACUUCUUUUUUUGCCCCCUAGAAUUGAAAGACACAGCUCCACGGCUCCACCCACCCACGUCUGCCAACUCUUCCCCCCACUUCUCCAAUCAACUUUCUCUAUUUUCUCGGGGGCUACCAACAAAGUUAUAUAAUAUUGCAAUGACCACUUCGAUUUGCAGAUAGAAAGUUGGAAGGAAAACUCAAACUGUAGUUGUUAAUAUCGCAAUGGACCGCAGAAAUAUACCACAACGCCCUCCGCUGUCAUAUUUUAUUAGGAUCACUAUUCGUC
rnacentral:lncRNA from 1 species